UACGGGGGGGGCAAGCGUUGUUCGGAAUUACUGGGCGUAAAGGGCUCGUAGGCGGCCAACUAAGUCGGACGUGAAAUCCCUCGGCUUAACCGGGGAACUGCGUCCGAUACUGGAUGGCUUGAGUUCGGGAGAGGGAUGCGGAAUUCUAGGUGUAGCGGUGAAAUGCGUAGAUAUCUGGAGGAACACCGGUGGCGAAGGCGGCAUCCUGGACCGACACUGACGCUGAGGAGCGAAAGCCAGGGGAGCAAACGGG
rnacentral:rRNA from 1 species